rnacentral:rRNA from 1 species
GGCUAACGCUGGCGGCGUGUCUUAGCCAUGCAAGUCGAGCGGACUUAUGGGGUAACUUAUAAGUCAGCGGCGGACGGCGGAGUAACACGUAGCUAACCUACCCUCUGGACGGGGAUAACCUACCGAAAGGUGGGCUAAUACCCGAUGUAGUCAUCCUGUAUAGGGGUGAUGAAAGGUGGGCUUCUGUUUACAAGCUCAUGCUGGAGGAGGGGCUGCGGCCUAUCAGGUAGUUGGUAGGGUAAUAGCCUACCAAGCCGAUGACGGGUAGCCGGCCUGAGAGGGUGACCGGCCACAUUGGGACUGAGACACGGCCCAGACUCCUACGGGAGGCAGCAGUGGGGAAUAUUGCACAAUGGAGGAAACUCUGAUGCAGCGACGCCGCGUGAGUGAAGAAGUAAUUCGUUAUGUAAAGCUCUAUCAGCAGGGAAGAUAGUGACGGUACCUGACUAAGAAGCUCCGGCUAAAUACGUGCCAGCAGCCGCGGUAAAG